rnacentral:rRNA from 1 species
UGGGGAAUAUUGGACAAUGGGCGCAAGCCUGAUCCAGCAAUGCCGCGUGUGUGAAGAAGGCCUUCGGGUUGUAAAGCACUUUUAUCAGGAGCGAAACGCUGUCGGCUAAUACCCGGCGGAACUGACGGUACCUGAGGAAUAAGCACCGGCUAACUUCGUGCCAGCAGCCGCGGUAAUACGAAGGGUGCAAGCGUUAAUCGGAAUUACUGGGCGUAAAGCGUGCGUAGGCGGUUUCUUAAGUCUGCUGUGAAAUCCCCGGGCUCAACCUGGGAAUGGCAGUGGAUACUGGGAGGCUAGAGUGUGUCAGAGGGUGGUGGAAUUCCCGGUGUAGCGGUGAAAUGCGUAGAGAUCGGGAGGAACAUCAGUGGCGAAGGCGGCCACCUGGGACAACACUGACGCUGAGGCACGAAAGCGUGGGGAGCAAACAGGAUUAGGAUACCCUGGUAGUCCACGCCCUAAACGAUGCGAACUGGAUGUUGGUCUCAACUCGGAGAUCAGUGUCGAAGCUAACGCGUUAAGUUCGCCGCCUGGGGAGUACGGUCGCAAGACUGAAACUUAAAGGAAUUGACGGGGUCAUAGCUGUUUCCUG